UUGUUGUUACUAAUUUUGUUGUUUGCUUGUUGCUUAAAUACAAGGAAGUAAAGAAAAAAAAUGCGGAAAAGGAAAAAUCAUACACCGUCACCCGUCAUCAUCUCUUAUUAUGUUUGUAUUUAGAUGCUUGAGCUUGUUUGCUGGAGAAGUUGUUCACAGUUCGGUAAACCAUAACUGGUAACUACUUAACCUUUUGAGACGUCUGAAAAGGGUUAGCCAGUAUGUUAUGAAUCUUUAUACACCAGCUGAUAUUACCAUGGGUUUGUUGCUGAACUGUCAACAUUUAGCUGGAAUGUUUUUACGGGAGCUAUGAACACAUUCAUGACUACAUCUUCUAGCUAUCAUGCAACGAGUACUCUAGAAUAUAUGGAGGUCAAUACCAUCUGAUUGGCGAAGUAGUAUCAAUGAAGGUCACUUGUAGGACUUGCUUUCAGAUUUCAAAUGGAGUUAGGAACGUACAUUCCAUACAUCAAGCUCCAGUUGCUGAGUUUGGAACAUACGUUCCACACAUCAAGCUCCAGCUGCUGAGGUAUGGAAGCUGUGCAUAGAGAGGGAGAGAAGCACCAAAAUAUGAGUAUGCCAUUGAUUACUAUCAACAAUAACAUGCUUAUAAAACUGUUACGUGCAAUUCUGGCUAAAGUACAAAAAAAAAAAAAACAUGUAUGUUUAUCAUCUUUGCAUGAAUUAGCUUUACCAUAUGUACGCCCUGUUUGUUUAUAUCUUCAUGAUGUGUGCUUUUUGUUUGUU